rnacentral:rRNA from 1 species
GACGAACGCUGGCGGCGUGCUUAACACAUGCAAGUCGAACGGAAAGGCCCCUCGGGGUGCUCGAGUGGCGAACGGGUGAGUAACACGUGGGUGAUCUGCCCUGCACUUUGGGAUAAGCCUGGGAAACUGGGUCUAAUACCGAAUAGGACCGCGGCCUUCAUGGGUUGUGGGGGAAAGCUUUUGCGGUGUGGGAUGGGCCCGCGGCCUAUCAGCUUGUUGGUGGGGUAAUGGCCUACCAAGGCGACGACGGGUAGCCGGCCUGAGAGGGUGACCGGCCACACUGGGACUGAGAUACGGCCCAGACUCCUACGGGAGGCAGCAGUGGGGAAUAUUGCACAAUGGGCGCAAGCCUGAUGCAGCGACGCCGCGUGAGGGAUGACGGCCUUCGGGUUGUAAACCUCUUUCGCCAGGGACGAAGCGCAAGUGACGGUACCUGGAGAAGAAGGACCGGCCAACUACGUGCCAGCCGCCGCAGUAACAC